rnacentral:pre_miRNA from 1 species
UUCAUACUCCCUCCGUCCCAAAAUUCUUGUCUUAGAUUAGUCUAGAUACAGAUGUAUUUAAUACUAAAAUGUGACUUGAUACAUUCGUAUUUAGACAAAUUUAAGACAAGAAUUUUGGGAUGGAGGGAGUACUUU